rnacentral:rRNA from 1 species
UUUGAUGUUUGAUCUCAAAUCAGGUAGGACUACCCGCUGAACUUAAGCAUAUCAAUAAGCGGAGGAAAAGAAACUAACAAGGAUUCCCCUAGUAACUGCGAGUGAAGCGGGAAGAGC